rnacentral:rRNA from 1 species
AGUGAACGCUGGCGGUAGGCCUAACACAUGCAAGUCGAACGGCAGCACAGUAAGAGCUUGCUCUUACGGGUGGCGAGUGGCGGACGGGUGAGGAAUACAUCGGAAUCUACUUUUUCGUGGGGGAUAACGUAGGGAAACUUACGCUAAUACCGCAUACGACCUACGGGUGAAAGCAGGGGUUCUUCGGACCUUUCGCGAUUGAAUGAGCCGAUGUCGGAUUAGCUAGUUGGCGGGGUAAAGGCCCACCAAGGCGACGAUCCGUAGCUGGUCUGAGAGGAUGAUCAGCCACACUGGAACUGAGACACGGUCCAGACUCCUACGGGAGGCAGCAGUGGGGAAUAUUGGACAAUGGGCGCAAGCCUGAUCCAGCCAUACCGCGUGGGUGAAGAAGGCCUUCGGGUUGUAAAGCCCUUUUGUUGGGAAAGAAAAGCAGCAGGUUAAUACCCCGCUGUCCUGACGGUACCCAAAGAAUAAGCACCGGCUAACUUCGUG